CGUGCUGCGGCGCGUGCCCCGGGUUUCGGCAGGCGCUGGGACGAGGUGGAAGUCAAGGCAAUCCAGGGCAGGGGAAGAAAUAAACCGUUGUUGCACAAAACCACUGAAACGUGGGCGAUUCCUCUCCUUACUCCAGUGACAUUUAUUAUAUUUUCCCUGUGGAGCUUGUGCCCCAUUUUGAAGACUUCUAGAAUGAAAAGUGGCAAGGCCUCAGGACCUCAUUUCCCAACAACCCUGUGGACCAAUAAAAAGGCUGUUCUUUGCUCCAUUAUCAUAUCCAAAGAGAUUCCUGUGUCCGUCUGUUAACAUUCAGAAACUUAGGCUUGUAAGGAACACCUCCUCUAAUUCCAGGAUCUGCUGCUUCCAUACAAUAUGGACAAGUGUUACGGGAAAACAUUAGAUUGAAGGUUGCCAACUCCGGCUGCACAGAAGAAUCAUCUGGGGACACUAAGACAGACCAAUACCCGGGCAGCACCUCAGACAAGUAUAAACCCCAGUUCAGAGGUGGAGUCAAGGCAUCAGUAUUUCAAAACUCUUCCCUGGAAACAGCCAAGCUUGGGAACCACUGGGCGUCUCUGCCUUGGAUUUAAGGCCCAUUUUGAUAAAGAAGGUCUAUCAGAAAUCCUUUGGCUACACCGGAUGCCAUGGCUGGGAUUGAGAAUUCUGUAUAAGAAUGUUCCCUACUAAAUUAUUUUAAGGAAACUCUUGUAAUUUUUAAUGCUAAAACCUUUUUUUUUAAUUCCAAAAGUUGGACUAUCUUUAAAGAAUAAAAACAUUUUCUUAAA